rnacentral:rRNA from 1 species
AUCGCGCGAUCGCCUUGAGUUGAUAUGGCUCGAAUCAACGCUGGCGGCGUGCCUAACACAUGCAAGUCGAACGGGAAGGGCGGCUUCGGCUGCCCGGAGAGUGGCGUACGGGUGAGUAACACGUGGGUAAUCUGCCUUUGGGUGGGGAAUAACGAUCCGAAAGGGUCGCUAAUACCGCAUAACGCAGCGGCACCGCAUGGUGACAGUUGUUAAAGGGGGGGAUCGAAAGACCUCUCGCCUGAAGAGGAGCCCGCGCCCGAUUAGCUAGUUGGUGAGGUAACGGCUCACCAAGGCGACGAUCGGUAGCCGGCCUGAGAGGGCGGUCGGCCACACUGGCACUGAGACACGGGCCAGACUCCUACGGGAGGCAGCAGUGGGGAAUUUUGGGCAAUGGGCGAAAGCCUGACCCAGCAACGCCGCGUGAAGGACGAAAUCCCUCUGGGAUGUAAACUUCGAAAGUCAGGAAAGAAAUCCUUGGGGGUAAUAUCCCUAAGGGAUGACGGUACCUGACGUAAGCCCCGGCUAACUACGUGCCAGCAGCCGCGGUAAUACGUAGGGGGCAAGCGUUGUUCGGAAUUACUGGGCGUAAAGGGCGCGUAGGCGGCACGGCAAGUCAGGAGUGAAAGGCCUGGGCUCAACCGCGGAACUGCUUUUGAGACUGCCGAGCUAGAGUGCAGAAGGGGCAACUGGAAUUCCCAGUGUAGCGGUGAAAUGCGUAGAUAUUGGGAAGAACACCUGANGCG